GACGAACGCUGGCGGCGUGCUUAACACAUGCAAGUCGAACGGAAAGGCCCUGCUUUUGUGGGGUGCUCGAGUGGCGAACGGGUGAGUAACACGUGAGUAACCUGCCCCUGACUUUGGGAUAACUUCAGGAAACUGGGGCUAAUACCGGAUAGGAGCUCCUGCUGCAUGGUGGGGGUUGGAAAGUUUCGGCGGUUGGGGAUGGACUCGCGGCUUAUCAGCUUGUUGGUGGGGUAGUGGCUUACCAAGGCUUGGACGGGUAGCCGGCCUGAGAGGGUGACCGGCCACAUUGGGCCUGAGAUACGGCCCAGCCUCCUACGGGAGGCAGCAGUGGGGAAUAUUGCACAAUGGGCGGAAGCCUGAUGCAGCAACGCCGCGUGCGGGAUGACGGCCUUCGGGUUGUAAACCGCUUUCGCCUGUGACGAAGCGUGAGUGACGGUAAUGGGUAAAGAAGCACCGGCUAACUACGUG
rnacentral:rRNA from 1 species